CCAGUUUCAUCACUAAGAAGACCUGAAAAGACCUAGAAUUUUUUUUUUAUACCAGUUUAAAGAUAUACGCCUUAAACCCAAAGAAAUAAAUGGCUCAAGAGGCCCAGGUUAUAUGACACUUGGCACAACAAAUAGUGCUUAACCUUCAAAGACAAUACCAACAACAACAACAAAAAGCCUCAAGGACAAUCCUAUUAGGCCAACGAAAUCCGCUCCAGCCAACCCCAUGCAACGAGCAGCUUGGUCCCCAAGUACUAGCAUGCACAUAGUAGUUGCCAAGAAUGUAUGUUUCACUCAAUUUCAUGAUCCUCACACUCUUACGCAAGUAACAACGUACAUCAGGGCAAUUGACACCCCAAUUUAACUUUCUAAGUACACUCUCCUUCAACCUCAAUUCUUUGCUAUUACUUCACCAAAAUCUUUUCUUAUACCUUAUUCCCAUUGUCUUCCUCUUUUAACUUAAAUAUGAAAAAGAGACUUUACCCUUUGUUUUGCAGAAAUUUUCUUGACCCCUAAAGUUCAAGAAGUAGCUUCCAUCCCCAAUCACCUUUAAGGAAAACAUUAAUAAAUAUCAUUGAUGGUAAACAACAAAACAGCAUAUCUAAAAUGGCUUUUAAAUAAACGUUUUCAAGACUAUUCUUUAAACCGUGGUUUCCCUAACAUUUUUCAAUGAAUAUGAUGAAACCGUGGAAGAGACCAUCAUACCUAGAAGAGGACAACACGUGGCAAGAGAGGUAAAGCCAUACAAAUACACCUCUCAACCUUGAAGCUCACCCUCUACUCUAAGCUCCAACCACACUAUUUCUUUUCUCAAAGCUUCUCCUCCUUCAUAGCUUUCUUCCAUCACUCAACCCAUACGGCUCUCCAUUCAAACAAGAUGAACCAACCUCAAUUUCCUCC
rnacentral:lncRNA from 1 species